GGUAAUUGUCCUCUAUCUGUUAUGUGGGGGGAACUUUUUAUGAGCCCCAUAUUAGGAAUCUAGUUUUUUUUUUUUUUUUUUUUUUUUUUUUUUUUUUUUUUUUUUUGCGCACUAGGUUUGGGAUUUUUUUUUUUUUUUUUUUUUUUUUUUUUUUUUUUUUGCUUC